UAAAUGCAGCAGCAAGGUGCUUGAAAAGGACUUUCUCUUUCGAACAAACAUAAUGGAAGGGCACGACAAGUUCAAACGGGCCAACUGUGUGACUGAUUUGGAAAAAGUGCUUCAUCGGUUUCAUGGCAUGAUAUCAAGACAAACCUCGGACUAAUCCGGAAAAUGCAUUAAGUUGAGCGAGAGUCAGGAAAAAGUUCUGCAUGUAUGCGUUGAUGAAGGUGG